CUGGGGCCUCUGACCGCCUGAGGACAGAGGCCGGAGAGCUGCCAGAGACCCUCGGGUCCUCCCGUCCCACCCUCGUGUUGUGAAGACGAGGAAACUGAGGCCCCCGAUAUUGACAUGACAUGCGCUUUGGCCGCCCCAAGGGGUUGGAGUCCGUGCAGAGGGCGGGGAAGGAGCUGGGGUCAGCACGAGGAGAGAGCCACCCUUGGGAAGGGCCGAGGCACCCAUGCACGGGAUGGGAAGGGGCGCGGGGGCGUGCCUGCACCUGCAGCCCCUAAGAGCGCGCACCUGACCGGACCCCGGUGGCUCUGGGUCCCGGCGUCUGGAAUGCAGCUGCUGUGCUGGCAGCGGGGCAGGCCCCCGGGACCUUCAUGCAAAGGCAUGGGUGGGAGACGCACGCCCAGCAGUCCGGCUUGGCCGUGGGGCAGAAUGGACGGAGGGCAAUAGCGGAGGAAGGUCAAGGAGCAGUCAGGCAAACGCUUGGGGAUCUGAUGCUGGGCAAGGCCAACUCUGGGAUGGGGUGGACAUUUCUGGAGCUGGAGAACCAUUUGGAGAAGGAAGGAGGAAGCUCUGGUUGAAACAGAGGCGCCCUGCCCCUGGCAACCUGACAGGUGUGAUCCCUAUUCUUAUCCAGUUGUACAACGAACUGUGACAUCACAGGCCAGGGCGAGCCAGCAGGGCGUCCCUGGACAGGGCCCAGUCAGAUGCUGGAGGGAUGCAGAACAGGGCUUUGGGGGCAAGUCCCACUGGGGUCAGGCUGAUGAUGAUUCCCAUACCCAAUCUGCAGCCAUGCAGGUGGACCCCUCUGCCAUGUUGUAGUGAGGAAGGAUUUCCAUGAGUUUCUUGGUUCACCUCUUUUGACCACUUGACAAAGAACGCCAGACCAUCUGUAAAGCUGACCGGUUGUCAGUAGUCUCAUAAACAUGGUGUUAAGCUACCAACAGACAAGUGAUGAGAGAGUCCCUAUUUGCAAGUGGCAAGAGGAGGACGUAGCUGAAGCAAUGGACCCAUGGACCAGCUUUGGGAAUGCUGACAGCCUCAGGAAAAGCCUCCAUCGACCCAUGGGCCCCUCCUUUCAUUCAUCCAAACUACCCAAAGGCCACCAUGUUGGAAACCUUUCGGUUCACAAUCAGGAGUCUACACCAGGUGCCAUAACAAAGAGGUUUUAUUGACAUUCCUUUACGGUGAUAUGAGUGAAUAGAAGGCAAAGACUGAGUAUCAGCAAAAUCAGCCCCAGAAUAAGGACCUUUCCUGCCAUUGACUAGUAGGAAGUCUUUUUUUCUUUUUCUUUCUUUCUUUCUUUCUUUCUUUCUUUCUUUCUUUCU